UACGAAGGGGGCUAGCGUUGUUCGGAAUUACUGGGCGUAAAGCGCACGUAGGCGGAUAUUUAAGUCAGGGGUGAAAUCCCAGAGCUCAACUCUGGAACUGCCUUUGAUACUGGGUAUCUUGAGUAUGGAAGAGGUAAGUGGAAUUGCGAGUGUAGAGGUGAAAAUUCGUAGAUAUUCGCAGGAACACCAGUGGCGAAGGCGGCUUACUGGUCCAUAACUGACGCUGAGGUGCGAAAGUGUGGGGAGCAAACAGG
rnacentral:rRNA from 1 species